UCCACGUUCCGCGAAACUAGAAGGCGAGCGGAGUCUUCUCGUGGAAUUUUAGCGACCCGAGGAGCCAGAGCUUCCUCCUCCUCGAGGGUGAGCACGGCGCGGCGGCGGGCCCGCACGCGGUGUCUUGUCUCGUCCCUUUCUCACCGAGACACCGAGAUUUCCGGUGUAAACGAGAGAGAGCCGCCGCCAGUUUCGCAGGAUUAUUGAUCGGCGUUCGCGCGAGUAUUGAUCCGCCUCCGCCUCGCGGGGCGACGUGGACCGGACGGCGGAUGCGAGACCGGAGGCGCGAGCGGAAGACGGUCGUCUUGGAAGCUCAACAGAGGGAAGAGUAACGGAAACUUUUUUUAUACGAAUAUUUAUCUGCCGCCGAAGUAUCAAGUUGCUUUGCAUUGUAUUUCCAUGUACGGCUGGAUGUGUAAUUUGAAUUCGAAUUUAAUCAUCCGCGAAGCGAACGACAUUUAAUUUAAAAGUGAGAAUACGGAAUGGCAAAUUUAAAUGGCGUGCCGUGUUCUUCUUCUCUUAUUUUAAUAACUUUGAGAUAAUAUUUCAGUAUUUUUACUUUUGCUGAAUUUACGAUGAAAAUUGAUAUAAUAAAUGGCAAAGUAUUUGUAUGAUUAUUGAUUAGUGCGUUUUCGUGAAUAUUGGUUCACCAAUUGGGACCGGUUUGAGUUAAAUGUUAUUCUCUAGCACUUCGAUCACCGGAUGCGCAAUGUAAUAUGCAAUAAAUAAUUUAUAAAUAACGUUUGUAAA